rnacentral:lncRNA from 1 species
UAAUGGCAUGAAAUAUUUAUUUGUUUAAACAACAAAAUAUUCUAACUGUUUGUUAUGUAUCUUUAUCAAAUCUUUUGAAUUUUAUUAAGAAAAUUAUUUACUAAUUUAAAGAAUAGAGGGUUAAAAUAUAAUAUUUUAACUGUCUAUUAUGUAUCUCCGCGUUCUUUUUCUUAUUUUUUAUUUUAAUUUCAGAACUUGCGUCUGUUACGCGUAGGCCGCAUUCAUGUAGACCUUCUAAUUAACAAAAAUUAUCAUUUUCAUAAUUUACAAAGGGCGCAUUUGGUUCGGAUUAUCCUGUUUAUUAUAUUUGCUUCAUCUAGUCUAUAAUCUAAUUGGCAAGGUACCAUUACAAAUGAUGUAAGAUUACUCCGAAAAUAUUACCGAAUUAGGGUGGGUAUCUCGUAUUACUGCCGGCGGGUAAUCUUGCAAUUAUUUAAAUUACAAGUUUACUCUCUCUCUUGGUGUUACCAAGUUUUUCACUGUUAGAUCUACCCAUUUAAUCAUUUUCAUCCGUCAGGUCAUACUAUUCAACAAAUCAUCCACUCAACCAAGAGGAGCACUAUUAUUCUAACCCUACAUCUCUUCAUCCAAUAGUCGAAACCCUAAUAGCAUGAUCUGGAUUUAUUUUUAUUAU